GGGCAGGCUCAUCAGUGUCAGAGCAGGGGAGACCAGCACAGACACCUUACAAGCAGAAUGACCUUCUGUGGCUACAGAGAAAGGCUUCAGGCAAAGAGAUGCAGCUCUGGGCCCCAGAGUCCGCUGGAGCACACUGAAGCUGGAGCACACUGAAGUGGAAGAUGGGGCUGCAGACAGAGACUGGGCAGCCUCUGCUCCAGGGAGGCCCGAGAGCCAGAGAGCAGAUUCCAUAAGAAGAAUAACUCCCAUUCCUCAUGCAUGAGACCCUCUGCUAAAUGCUUCCUGUGCACCACCUCCAGAAAUCCUCCCAAGCCAGGACACCAGCAGUAUUACAGGAACUGGAUGACAAAAAGAAGAGCCGAUAUAACCAGGAACCUACUCUGGCCACCCCAAUGGUCAUGGAUUUGGAUGGUGAGAAGAGCUGAGACAGACGGCACAGGUUCUCAGGAUGCUUGAGGCAGGCUGAGCUCCACGAGCAGAGACCAGGCUGAUGCAUGCUCCACAUCUUGCAUGCUUUGCUUAAAGAAUGAGCGAAAGGAGUAAAUGAAAUUGGUUCUUUCAAAGCAACAAGAACAUUUGUGACAUAUCUGCUAAGGUGGUGAGGGACAAAGAUGAAGGACUGCAGAGCUGUCUCAUAGGCUCCUUUGAGCAAAGCAUUCCUCCUCCAGGUUGAUUGAGAAUCAUCCAGGGAGAUGGGGGAAAUUCUGCCUUCACAAAGUUUCAGGCUCCUGUUGUUCAGUCUACAAAUAUGCCUACAAUUUCUACAGCCUCAGUCCAGCUUCAGCCUCAAACUAGCACUUGGCUGCUUUCUUUCUUCCCUGCCUGAGUUUUUGACAGAGUGACCUGAAUUCACCUCUCCUCUGCUUCCUUGCCUCCCAUCGUGAUCUCCCUGAGUCAGAUUGGUUCCAAA
rnacentral:lncRNA from 1 species